AUCCCUUGUUUGAUUUACUUUGUAAAGAGAUGAAGAGUUAUAUGAAGUUUUGUUGUUAUAUUUUAAAAAUGUUGAGAUGUUCUUUUGAUGAUGUGAGAAUGAUGUGGGAUUUUAUAUCCGUAUUUGAGUUUGAGUAUUCAAAUAAUUCUAGAUAAUUAUUUGAAUGAGAACGGUGAACUCGGAAGUGAAAUCUGAGUCCGUUAAGACGUUUUUGAAAUUUUUGACUUUUUGACGAUGAAUAGUAAAAUACGGCUAUUUCGUCUUUUUGUCGACUUUCAAAAUCUUACGUGCACGUCGUCGAGAAAUAUUCUUAGUUUUUCGAUACGAGUCCAAUAAUGAAAGUUUUUAUUUUUGGACGACGAGUGAAUACUAAAUCGGGAUUUCUCGAUAAACGAACCGAGCUCGUUUAUCAGAAUUUCGAGAACGAGCUUGCGUUUUCUAUAUUUAUAUAGAAUUACGAGUGUAAUGAAAGUGAGUAGAGGUUGAGAGGGCGAGUAACGAAGAGUAUGGGUUGUUAGUCGUUAAAACGAGACGAGACGAGACGAGACGAGACGAGAUAUUUAACGACUAAAUAUCUAACCCUACCCCACCAAAACCACCCCCCAACCGCCCAAGUUCAGUCAAACACUCUUAACUCACGUUGAUUUUCAGCCCACACACAACUCACACACACUAACACCUAAAACACACACACCAUUCACGCAUAUACCAUUUUUAGCUUGAGCUCAAGCUUUUGAGCUCCGAUUUGAGCACCGAGAUGAACGCCGAUCAUCUUUUCGAUCACGUAUCUAAGUAGGUCCUUUUGGGAAGUAACGACUUGAGGGAGAGAGUGACGUUACUCAUUGAUACAGAGACACAACGAGGUUGAGCUGAUGUGAUGAUGGUGCUGCAAUGAGCGGAGUCUCCAGGGUUGUUAAUAAAUAGUUAACCUGUCUAGAAUAUGUCUUCAUACAUAUGUCUAGCUACUUUCCGCUGCAAGAUGUUGUUGAUGUUAUAGUAUAUUAUGUCAUACUUUGAGUCUUAAGAGAAUGGUUUCAUACGAUGUAUAACUUUAUUAAUGAUAUUAAUUAAGUUUUAUGUUGUCUUUCAUAGACUGUUUUCAAUUGAGUAUUAAUGAAUAAAA